rnacentral:rRNA from 1 species
UACGAAGGGGGCUAGCGUUGCUCGGAAUCACUGGGCGUAAAGCGCACGUAGGCGGAUUGCUAAGUCAGGGGUGAAAUCCUGGAGCUCAACUCCAGAACUGCCCUUGAUACUGGCGGUCUCGAGUCCGGGAGAGGUGAGUGGAACUGCGAGUGUAGAGGUGAAAUUCGUAGAUAUUCGCAAGAACACCAGUGGCGAAGGCGGCUCACUGGCCCAUUACUGACGCUGAGGCACGAAAGCGUGGGGAGCAAACAGG